AAUGUGUAAAAAUUAUGUUGAGCCAUUUUUAUGGUCUUGUGAUGAUUGAGUAUUUGUUUGGGCCUUGGUCAAGGUUGAUUUGAAUUUUUUUGGAUUAAAACCAUUGGAUUUAGGAGAUUGAUGAAAUGUACAUUUCAUCUCCCAAAAUAAAUGAAUGGUUUUAAUUUGAUUAAAUUCCUCCCAUGACCAAUUUGUGUUUC
rnacentral:lncRNA from 1 species